UAGGCGACCGGGUGAGUAACACGUGACUAACCUACCCUCGAGUGUGGAAUAACAUCGGGAAACCGAUGCUAAUACCGCAUAAUAUCGCAAGAUCAAAGCAGCAAUGCGCUUGAGGAGGGGGUCGCGGCUGAUUAGCUAGUUGGCGGGGUAACGGCCCACCAAGGCGAAGAUCGGUAGCCGGCCUGAGAGGGCGCACGGCCACACUGGAACUGAAACACGGUCCAG
rnacentral:rRNA from 1 species